rnacentral:lncRNA from 1 species
CUGGGAGCAAAGGAAAGCAUAUAAUAUUAGAUAGGAACUUUUGCUCAUGCUAACACUUUUCAGUCGGUAUCUGUGGGGGCACAGAAGCUUUCUUCUUCCAUUUGCCUUUCUCUACAGUCUCUUUCCAAAACAACUCAUUUUCUAGCAAAUUUCAGCUGAAUUUUCUUCCUUACCACGCAGUCACCGCCAUCCAACUGCAUGUCACUCUCCACUUCGCCACGGUCUGAACUCUUGGCCACAAGAUCUAAGCCUUCCGGAUGCCCCAGCCAGUUCAGGCUGCUGGUCUCUUGUCCCUAAGCCUUUGCCGAGGUAGUCGGCUUACUUGAUGCCAGCACACCAGGCCCCCCACCACCCGCUGGAAGCACAGGCCCCAGCUCAGGUCAGGUUCCGGAA